UUUAAAAUAAUGUAUUUAUGAGGAAUAAAUGCAAAUACAAAGUUACAAAUAAAUACAAAGUUUCAAUUUGCUGUUAUUUACCCUGGCCUCCAAAAAAACCCCACACAUUGAAGAAAAACAAGAAAAUGAAUUCGGAAAAUGUAGACUGCUCUUUUGGCUGAAAGUUACAGCAUCAUUUAGGAGUUUGCCUGCACAAGUUCCCUCUGUUUGCUUGCUGCCAUCCAUGUGAGAUGGGACUUACUCCUCCUUGCCUCCCGCCAUGAUUGUGAGUCUUCCCCAGCCACUGGAACUGUAAGUCCAAUUAAACCUCUUUCUUUUGUAAGUUACCCAGUCUCGGGUAU
rnacentral:lncRNA from 1 species